UAGUCUGCAAAAUUUGUGCUGAGAAAUCCAUUAAAAAUUUUGUGGGAGUUCACUUCUAUAUGAUGAGUCACUUCUGUCUUGCCAUUUUCAAAAUUCUCUUUGUCCAUAGCUUUGACAAUUUGAUAAAAGUCUCAAUGUACUUUACUUUAGGUUAGUCUUAUUUGGGGCCUUUGAAUUUCGUGAAUCUGGAUGUCCAUUUCCCUCCCAAGAUUUGAGAACUUUUUAGCCAUAGUACCUGUAUUUAUUCUUUUUACUUUUUAAUUGAAAUAUAUUUGACAUAUAACAUUGUAUAAAUUUAAGGUGUACAACUUGUUUGAUACAUUUAUAUAUGGUAAUAUGUUUGGCCAUUUAGUGAUAAUUAGCACCUCUAGUACACUACAUAAUUACCCUUUCCUUUUAGUAGUUGGAAUAAUUAAGUUACAGUCUCUGCAAAUUCGAUGAUUAUAAUGUAAUAUUGUUGCCUGUAUUUACUGUACUGGGCAUUAUAUCUCUAGGGCUUAUUUACUACUUGUUGCAAGUUUGUACCCUUAAACAACAUCUGUCCUGCCCCUUCCCCACCAUCUCCUGGAAGCUUGAUUUCAUUCUCUAUAUUUACAAGUUUGGCAUUUUAAAAUUUCAAUUAUAAGUACUAUCAUACAGUAUUUGUUUUUCUGUCUGAUGUAUCUUACUUAACAUAAUGCAGAUGUGCUCAAGGUCCAUCCAUGUUGUUAUACAUCAAAUGGCAGGAUGUAUUCCUUUUCAUUGUUGAAUGUUCUGUUUUAUUUAUGUACCACAUGUUCUUUAUUCAUUCAUCUCUCAGUGGAUAUUUAUGUUGUUUCCGUAUCUUGGCUAUUGUAAAUAAUGCAGCAGUGAACAUGGGGAUGCACAUAUCUUUUUGAGUUAGUGUUUUUGUUCCCAGAAGUGGAAUUGCUGAAUCAUAUAGUAGCUCCACCUUUCAACUUUUUGAGGAGCUUCCAAUACUCUUUUCCAUAGUAGCUACACAAGUUUAUAUUCCCAUCAACAGCGCUGACACUUGUUAUUUAUUGUCUUUUUGAUAAUAGCUUUUCUAACAGAUAUAAAGUGAUACCUCAUUGUGGUUUUAAUUUACAUUUCCCUGAUGGUUAAUGACAUAAAGCAUCCUUUUAUGCACCUGUUGGCCAUCUAUAUGUCUUAUUUUAAAAAAGUCUACUCAGAUCUUCUGCCCAUUUUUAAUUGAAAUGCUGUUUUGUUAUUAAAUUGUAUGCGUUCUUUAUAUAUUUUAGCUAUUAUCAGAUAUGAGGUUUGUAAAAUUUUUCUCCCAUUCUCUAUGUUGCCUUUUCAUGUUGUUAGUUGUUUCUUUUGCUGUGCAAAACUUUUAAAUUUAAGGUAGUACCAUUUGUGGGUUUUUUCUUUUCUUGUUUGUGCUUUUGGUGUCAUAUCCAAGGACCUUCUUCCUUGUGUUUUCUAUUAGGAAUUUUAUAGUAUCAGGUCUCAUGUUUAAGUCUUUGAUUCAUUUCAAGUUAAUUUCUUUUUUGGCGGUACACUCAGCACACAGAUGUUCCCAGGACAGGGAUUGAACCCAUGCUACAGCAGCAACUCUGCAGUGACAACGCCAGAUCCCCAAGCCCCUGUGCCACAAGAGAACUCCAAAGAAGAGCAAUUUAAAUAUUCUUUUUUUUUUUUUUUUUUUUUUUUUUUUUUUUUGGCAACUCCUACAGCAUGUGGAUGUUUGGGCCAGGGAUCAAACCUAUACCACAGCAACAAUCCAAACGUCUGCAGUGACCAUGCUGGAUCCUUAAGCUGCUGCACCACAAGAGAACUUCAAGUUAGUUUUUGUGAGUGGUAUAAGUUAGGGUCCAGUUUUAUUGCUUUGCAUGUGUUUAUCCCGUUUUCUUAGCACAUUUAUCGAAGAGACAUCUUUUCCCCAUUGGGUGUUCCUGGCUCCAUUGUCAGAUAUUAGUUGACCCUAUAACAGAGAUUUCAUUCUGUUACCUCUAUUCCUUUCCUUUGGUCUGAAUUUUUGUGCCAGUACCAUACUGUCUUUAUUACUGUAGCUUAGUAGUAUAGUUUGAAAUCAGGGCAUGUGAUACCUCUAGCUUUUUUUUCUGUUUUUUGGGUUUUUUUUUUUUUUUCCUCAAGAUUGCUUUGGCUGUCUGGGGUCUUUGUGGUUCCAUACAAAUUAUAGGAUUUUUUUCUAUUUCUGUGAAGAAUACCAUCAGCAUUAUGAUAGGGAUUUCAUUGAUUCUAUAGAUGGCUUUGGGUAGUAUGGACAUUUUAACAGUAUUAAUUCUCAUCAUCCAUAAACACAGAUCCAUUUAUUCGUCUUUUUUGAUUUCUGUCAGCAAAGUCUUGUAGUUUUCAUCGUAGAGAUGUCUUACUUCCUUUGGUUCAGUUUAUUCCUAAGUAUUUUAUUGUUUUUUAUGCUAUGGUGAAUGGCAUAGUUUUCUGUUUCACAUUUCAUUCUUAAUAUAGAAAUGCAACUGAUUUCUGCAUGUUGAUUUUGUACCCUGAAAAUUUACUGACGUUGUUGAUUAAUUCCAACAGUUUUUUUGGCUGAGUCUUUGGGAUUUUCUAAAUAUAGAAUUAUAAUAUCUACAAAUAGCAAUGAUUUUGCUUCUUCCUUUCCUCUUUGGAUGCCUUUUCAUUCUUUUUUUUUUUUUCUUUCCUAACUGUUCUAGCUAGAACUUCCAGUACUAUAUUGAAUAAUAGUAUGAGAGUAGGUAUCCCAGUCUUGCUCCUGAUAUUGGAUGAAAAGCUUUUCAAUUUUUUUCUUCUUUUUUUUUUUUUUCUCUCAAAGACAGUGUCAUCUUUAUUAAAAAACAGAUAGGCAUAGCAGCACUUACAAAACAAUAGUUCAUAAAAGGCAUUGCACACUGUCAACUGAUAUAUGAAAAGGGCAGACCCCCGGCACAGCUGGUUGUGGGCUGCACAUCACAACACUCAAAACCACCUGCUCCACUUAAUACAACACAACCCAGAACACUCAAGGGGAGGCCAACAGCAACAUGGUACUCCUCAACUUCAAGCCUUUGUUAUUUGUGUGACUAGUCAAUCAAGUCAAGUAUCACCCUCUUAACAGCAUCUGGAGCACUCGUUGGUGUUCUGGAGGUGGCUGGUGUACUUGACCCACUUAUUAGAAAAUCUAAACAUUCAAUAAAAAACACUUCUCCCUGUCCAAUGCUAUCCACAGAAACCUAUGGUGGAAGAGAUGUGCUCCUCCAUUUAAAUAUCUGUAAAAGCUAAUGCAGGCCUCUGCUGCAGCAGACAGGAGAGAACCUGGAGCAGGCACUUCCACACACCUGUCUUUGGUGGAGGAUGCUGGUGUGGUCAUGCUGUUCCCUGCCCACUGCUCUGCUUCUUACUGCUCUGCUGGGGGGGUGAGGACUCCAGUGGGGAGAGGAGAAAUCCUAUUUUCUUCAGACAAUAUGGUUUUCUUUGCUUGGGCUUUGUCCAGCAAAUCCAAGCUGUUUAUAUGGGUCUGGAUGUAAUGGAUAUCUUCAGCAGGAACCCCUCUGAAGUGCUUAAGUUUUGAGCUUCCUGUCUCCCUUAUAACCAUGGCAAAUGGAACCAUCCACUUGACACACUUCUCUAUAUCACACCACUGAUACCCUGAAACCUUCUUCAUCAAUUCGGAUGAAGAGGAAUGAUACAAGGCAGAAGCAGCAGGUACAUCAUAGGAAAAUUCUAAGCAGCCAACAUCCAGGACACAGAGAUCUAAAAGCUCUGUGAUCUGUAUGAAGAUUUGCUGGGGAUACUGUGGCAGGAGCACUUCCUAAAAAUCAUUUAGAUAUACAACCUGCAUGUAUACAUUCAGCCAGGACACAAUGGUCAGGGGACUUAAAUGCCAUUAAGGGCCUUCAUAAUGAUUAAUUCCAUGGUAAGAAUUUCAUCUCCUGAUCAAGCCCCAUCUGUCACAUAAGCAAACUGGUGCAACUUUGGAGGAUAGAUUUCCUCAAGUUUGGCAGCAAUAAAUAAAGAUGAAAUCCCAAUAAGCUGUAAAAGCGUUUUUACAACGUUUUGUUGUGUUGCCAUACACUGAUCGAAGAAAUCCUGUGCCAAGUAAAAUGUCUCUCUCUUAACACACCUCCAUUAACCAAUCCAGAAGAAUCACUCGCAUUUUAGGCUCCAGAAGAAGGUGCCACUGCAUAAGGUACUUAUCCCUCAAGUUCAUCUUUUCCUUGUUUAACAUGAUUUUCCAUACCUCCUCUCUAUUUGCCCAGUUCAGUAUGCGAGGCUCUGGAUGGUGUGCAACUCUGAGGCUUAUACACAGAAUUAGGGAAUUCAAGCUCAUCCUCUUUGUCAGGUGUGGGAACAAAGGAGCACAGGUUUUCAAAGACUGCAUUAUUGACCCAAGGCUGAUUGCCACACUGGCUUCGCACAGUUCUGUCAAUUUUGGCCACUUCUCCAUCUGGA
rnacentral:lncRNA from 1 species